CCAGCUGCUUGUAUCAAGGUAUUUUGCUGGGCUGAACUGAUAAGGAACUACUGACUGUCCUUGAAGACAGGUAUAUAAGACUAAGGGAAUCUUGCGCUCCCUUGGAGAACUACCCACCUGUAAUGCGGAUGCGUGUUACUGGUUUCCGCUGUUCCCAGAAGAGAGGGUCUCUCCGAGUGACUGCCCGAAUUCCCCCAAGUCAUGUGUGGCAAGG